UGCUUGAGUCUGGAUGAACUAAAAACUGGGU
rnacentral:piRNA from 1 species